rnacentral:lncRNA from 1 species
AUAAAUGGUAGGAUUUGGCUAAGACCAAAAAAAGACACAAGAGAGAGUUUGUAUGUGUGUUAUUAUCUCUCUUUCUAAGUAGUGGAGUACUUAGUUUUUUUUAAGUGAAUCUCUGCCGCGCUCUCUCUAUCAUUUCCUUUGCAUAUUUAGUCGUAGGACGCGAAGGUCCGGACUAGCAACAGGGACGAAGGCUUGUCCAUUUCCGCGAAGAAAGGUGGGCGCCGCACGGACUUUGCGAAUAAAAACGCUAAGCCUGUGACAGAAAGGUGGGAAAACUUUUCCACGCCCAGAUCCGUCCGAUUUGCAUCCCUAGCCACACAUACACUCCGAUCUUACCACUCUUAAAUCUUAGAACUAAAUUUAAUUAUAAAUUAACUUAAUAUCUAAUCAUUAUUCAGUUUUCUUCUAAUAUCUGAAUUACAUAAAAAUCAAUAAAUGUCAUAUAUGAGCUAAAAUAUAAUAAUAAUAAACUACAUAUGA